AGAGUUUGAUCCUGGCUCAGGAUGAACGCUGGCGGCAUGCCUAAUACAUGCAAGUCGAACGAAGUUUCGAGGAAGCUUGCUUCCAAAGAGACUUAGUGGCGAACGGGUGAGUAACACGUAGGUAACCUGCCCAUGUGUCCGGGAUAACUGCUGGAAACGGUAGCUAAAACCGGAUAGGUAUACAGAGCGCAUGCUCAGUAUAUUAAAGCGCCCAUCAAGGCGUGAACAUGGAUGGACCUGCGGCGCAUUAGCUAGUUGGUGAGGUAACGGCCCACCAAGGCGAUGAUGCGUAGCCGGCCUGAGAGGGUAAACGGCCACAUUGGGACUGAGACACGGCCCAAACUCCUACGGGAGGCAGCAGUAGGGAAUUUUCGUCAAUGGGGGAAACCCUGAACGAGCAAUGCCGCGUGAGUGAAGAAGGUCUUCGGAUCGUAAAGCUCUGUUGUAAGUGAAGAACGGCUCAUAGAGGAAAUGCUAUGGGAGUGACGGUAGCUUACCAGAAAGCCACGGCUAACUACGUGCCAGCAGCCGCGGUAAUACGUAGGUGGCAAGCGUUAUCCGGAAUCAUUGGGCGUAAAGGGUGCGUAGGUGGCGUACUAAGUCUGUAGUAAAAGGCAAUGGCUCAACCAUUGUAAGCUAUGGAAACUGGUAUGCUGGAGUGCAGAAGAGGGCGAUGGAAUUCCAUGUGUAGCGGUAAAAUGCGUAGAUAUAUGGAGGAACACCAGUGGCGAAGGCGGUCGCCUGGUCUGUAACUGACACUGAGGCACGAAAGCGUGGGGAGCAAAUAGGAUUAGAUACCCUAGUAGUCCACGCCGUAAACG
rnacentral:rRNA from 1 species